GCCGAAGUGGUGAAAUUGGUAGACACGCUAUCUUGAGGGGGUAGUGGCGUAAGCCGUGCCGGUUCGAGUCCGGCCUUCGGCACCA
rnacentral:tRNA from 2 species